CUAAAACUGCAGACAUCCUUUGACCUUGGGUGAGGAAGCUUGAUUUGAGAAGACAAAGGGGAAGCUGGUGAAUGGAUAGUCAGAGGGACGCAACAGGUCCCUUAACAGUUUCAAGAUAUCCGCAGCUGCCUUUUAGAUGAUGUAAGAUGGAUUUGCAGAAGCCAAUGAGGAUGAGUUAAAAAACAAUCAAAAUGGGAGAGGCAAGCUCCCAUGUGAACAGGAUCCAGCUGAGCAUCGAGGAGUCUCUGGCCUGCUGAUGUCUGCCUGUCCCAGAUCUGAGACCCAUGUGCCUAUUUAAUACCUGAGCAUCUCAGUGAUGCCUUUUAAGAUUUAAAGGAUCUAUACGACA